rnacentral:precursor_RNA from 12 species
ACAGAGGCGUGUGAGGGAAGUGAGUUGUUAUCUUUGGUUAUCUAGCUGUAUGAGUGUAUUGGUCUUCAUAAAGCUAGAUAACCGAAAGUAAAAACUCCUUCAAGAUCGCCGGGGAGCAU